rnacentral:rRNA from 1 species
AAUGAACGCUGGCGGCGCGCCUAAUACAUGCAAGUCGAGCGAGAAGACGUAGCAAUACGUUUGUAAAGCGGCGAACGGGUGAGGAAUACAUGGGUAACCUACCCUCGAGUGGGGAAUAACUAGCCGAAAGGUUAGCUAAUACCGCGUACGCUCCUUGGACUUCGGUUCAGGGAGGAAAGCGAUACCGUGGGUAUCGCGCUCUUGGUUGGGCUCAUGUCCUAUCAGCUUGUUGGUGAGGUAACGGCUCACCAAGGCUUCGACGGGUAGCUGGUCUGAGAGGACGAUCAGCCACACUGGCACUGCGACACGGGCCAGACUCCUACGGGAGGCAGCAGUAAGGAAUAUUGCGCAAUGGGCGAAAGCCUGACGCAGCGACGCCGCGUGGGGGAUGAAGGUCUUCGGAUUGUAAACCCCUUUCGGGAGGGAAGAUGGAACGAGCAAUCGUUCGGACGGUACCUCCAGAAGCAGCCACGG